rnacentral:tRNA from 8 species
GGAUCGUUAGCUCAGUUGGUAGAGCAGUUGACUUUUAAUCAAUUGGUCGCAGGUUCGAAUCCUGCACGACCCACCA